rnacentral:rRNA from 1 species
AGCGAACGCUGGCGGCAGGCCUAACACAUGCAAGUCGAACGAACUCUUCGGAGUUAGUGGCGGACGGGUGAGUAACACGUGGGAACGUGCCUUUAGGUUCGGGAUAACUCAGGGAAACUUGUGCUAAUACCGAAUGUGCCCUUCGGGGGAAAGAUUUAUCGCCUUUAGAGCGGCCCGCGUCUGAUUAGCUAGUUGGUGAGGUAAAGGCUCACCAAGGCUACGAUCAGUAGCUGGUCUGAGAGGAUGACCAGCCACAUUGGGACUGAGACACGGCCCAAACUCCUACGGGAGGCAGCAGUGGGGAAUCUUGCGCAAUGGGCGAAAGCCUGACGCAGCCAUGCCGCGUGGAUGAUGAAGGUCUUAGGAUUGUAAAAUCCUUUCACCGGUGAAGAUAAUGACUGUAGCCGGAGAAGAAGCCCCGGCUAACUUCGUGCCAGCCGCCGCGGUAAGAC